GGAUUCCUCGUCCAGAACUUGUUUACCCAUAGCUCCUGCAGGACUAUGUGAUGGCGAGCCAUAAGCUGAAUAGUCCUUCAGUUUGUACUGAUCAGCAGUUUGGUGAGUCUGCUGUUGACUUCGACCUGCUGUGACACCAGGUGCCAACCAAAACUCCGGCAGGACUAUGUGAUGGCGAGCCAUAAGCUGAAUAGUCCUUCAGUUUGUACUGAUCAGCAGUUUGGUGAGUCUGCUGUUGACUUCGACCUGCUGUGACACCAGGUGCCAACCAAACAGCCUCACUUCCACUCUUGAACUCAUUUGGAGAAAAUCUAGCUUCUUUGUUUCCAUCAGGUGCCCCUCUUCUCGAAAUAGGCACAUACGAUUCUGCAUAAGGAUUCAGAGUUGAUGUUCCUGUCUUCAUUGGUGCAGUGCAUAUAGAGCUCACUGUUGAAAAAAAGGUAACAAGGAUAAGCAACCGCAGUAAGAGCAUUGACAACGGAUAUCCCAAACAUAUAGUGCAAAACUAAUAAUUACUUUUGACUUCCUUUUACAUAAGGGUAUGAGCUAGAUUCAGACUGCAGGAGGCUAUUAUUCUGUUCAGGGAGAGUAAUUUUACUCAAAGGUAUCUAAAAUUAAACACAAGAACAAGGUAAUAUUAAAAAGGCUAGUACUCCUCAGCAUAGCUGAAAUGAACUUCUGACACAAACAGAAAUGCGAAUUUGGCACCACAGAUUAACUAAGACAUCGAUAAUGUUUUAAUCUAUUAGCAAAGUCAAACUCUGGUUCCCCCUUCCUUUGCCCAGAUAAAAAAUUGAGCUUAGAUCGAAGACAUGCAAUUAAAAGGAAAACAUCUUCUCCGCUUCUCUCCCCUCUUCACUAUUUCAACACCUCAGUAGAAUAUGCCUGUUGGUCACUGAAGCCUGUCACGAGCCCAUAGAUUUAUGGGUACACUUCACUUGGCAUCUCUGCAACACUCUACUUCACAGAAGAUCUGUUCAAUAAAAUGCUUCGGAAAUUUUAUUUCACGUUUAAUUUCUCAGAUAAUUAUAGUACUGAAUUUAUAUGUAUUAAGCUUGGGCUUCAUUUCACGCUUUUCUCUUCAAGUCACAUGGACCUUGAUGCUUUUUUGCGCUUUCCGCUUUUAAAAACGCUGAUCUUUCUUCAUUUAUCCUAGCUCAAGCCAGAGUUAUGAAAGCAAAUCUCAAAAUUAGUCCUACAUCUCCACCAAGUAUCCACUAUCACCUAUCAGAUCCAAAGAUUGAGAAAAAGCUCAAGCAGAUAAGAAUACCGAAAAUUCAAGACAGCAAGAUCCAAUCUGCAAUAGUUGACUAGAUAUAAGUUACAAAGGGAUAGACUGGACACAUCCCAAACCAAAUAAGAGAAAAUCAAAUUAAAUAAGAGGUUAAUAACAAAAUCACUUCAUACUAUCGGGGGUAGGGCGGGGAUGGGGGGCACUUGUUUCUUUGUUUCCAAGAAGUUUAGUCUUAUUUAAGAAAGGAAGAAG
rnacentral:lncRNA from 1 species